rnacentral:rRNA from 1 species
GAUGAACGCUGGCGGCGUGCCUAAUACAUGCAAGUCGAGCGAACGGACGAGAAGCUUGCUUCUCUGAUGUGAGCGGCGGGCGGGAGAGUAACACGUGGAUAACCUACCUAUAAGACUGGGAUAACUUCGGGAAACCGUAGCUAAUACCGGAUAAUAUUUUGAACCGCAUGGGUCAAAAGUGAAAGACGGUCUUGCUGUAACGUAUAGAUGGAUCCGCGCUGCAUUAGCUAGUUGGUAAGGUAAAGGCUUACCAAGGCAAGGAUGCAUAGCCGACCUGAGAGGGUGAUCGGCCACACUGGAACUGAGACACGGUCCAUAGUCCUACGGGAGGCAGCAGUAGGGAAUCUUCCGCAAUGGGCGGAAGCCUGACGGAGCAACGCCGCGUGAGGGAUGAAGGUCUUCGGAUCGUAAAACUCUGUUAUUAGGGAAGAACAUAUGUGUAAGUAACUGUGCACAUCUUGACGGUACCUAAUCAGAAAGCCACGGCUAACUACGUG